CAGUAGCCGCGGUAAAACGGAGGGAGCUAGCGUUGUUCGGAAUUACUGGGCGUAAAGCGCACGUAGGCGGCUUUGUAAGUUAGAGGUGAAAGCCUGGAGCUCAACUCCAGAAUUGCCUUUAAGACUGCCGAGCUAGCAGGUGAGAGAGGUAAGUGGAAUUCCGAGUGUAGAGGUGAAAUUCGUAGAUAUUCGGAAGAACACCAGUGGCGAAGGCGGCUUACUGGCUCAUACUGGACGCUGAGGUGCGAAAGCGUGGGGAGCAAACAGGAUUAGAUACCCCCGUAGUCCCUGUCUCUUAUAC
rnacentral:rRNA from 1 species